rnacentral:rRNA from 1 species
CAGCCGCCGCGGUAAUACGAAGGGGGCUAGCGUUGCUCGGAAUGACUGGGCGUAAAGGGCGCGUAGGCGGUUUAUACAGUCAGAUGUGAAAUUCCUGGGCUCAACCUGGGGACUGCAUUUGAUACGUAUGGACUUGAGUGGAGAAGAGGGUUGUGGAAUUUCCAGUGUAGAGGUGAAAUUCGUAGAUAUUGGAAAGAACACCGGUGGCGAAGGCGGCAACCUGGUCUUUAACUGACGCUGAGGCGCGAAAGCGAGGGGAGCAAACAGGAUUAGAUACCCCCGUAGUCCCUGUCUCUUAUAC